rnacentral:rRNA from 1 species
UAGCCGCGGUAAUACCAGCUCUCCGAGUGGUAGGGACGAUUAUUGGGCCUAAAGCGUCCGUAGCCGGCCAAGCAAGUUUCCCGUUAAAUCCAGCGAUCCAAUCGUUGGACUGCGGGAAAUACUGUUUGGCGUAGGGGGCGAGAGAGGCCAACGGUACUCGUCGGGGUAGGGGUAGAAAUCCUAUAACGUCCCGGGAAGACCCACCAGUGGCGAAGGC